UCAGACUUUCCAGCGAUUACCCCCGGACUGAUUUCCCGUUAACGACCCUGCCUGUCUCCGAACUACCCGCCUCGUCAAAUCCCCGGAUUACCCACCAGCCUUCUGUCCCCGACCUCAAACUCGGUUUCCUCAUCUCUGAACCUGGGUUACUUAUGUCUGAGGCAGCAAAGUGGGGGAUCUCCACAAUCACAGGACUGGAGGAGUAGAGGCCAGGUAGUGUGAAGGUGGAGGGGCAUGGGGGAGGUGGAGUUUACUGUGGGAUCGACCAAGCAUCCAUACGCAGCAGUGAGGAAGAAAGAGCACACACAAUGUUUUGGUUGGGUGCAAAAUGGAAACCUUCGGGGCUGAUUUGCUACAGUUGAAUGAGAUUAUUAACACUGUGGUCAUUUUUGUCUUUGGUGACCAAAAUUGUUCCAAAUCAAUCAUGAUAUAAAUUAAUACAUACACACUAUAUCAUACAAAAAUAAAAUUGUCAGUUUCAUUUAGUUCCAGCUGUUUUUUAUUCCAAAAUAAUUGUUCUAAUAACAUUUUAUAAUGCUUAUGAUGGUUGUGUCUGGAAUGUGAUAUUUUGUUUGCUAAUGUAACACUAAUGCAAAAAUGUGUAUGAUUGUAAUUACAAUUUUAAUGCUAAUAUUUUUGUUUUAAUUGUAUUGUAUUAAUGAAAUAAGUAUAUAUAAAACAAUAUAUAAUAUAUAUAAUCAAUUUAAAUUAUAAUAACAAUUGUAUUUAAAUAAUGCUUUGGGGGAUCUGUGUAUGUCUAAGUUUUUAUAGGCCAAUAAAGACAUUUUUGCAGU